GUGCUCGCUUUGGCAGCACAUAUACUAAAAUUAGAAUGAUACAGAGAAGAUUAGCAUGGCCCCUGAACAAGGAUGACAUAUAAAUGCGUGAAGCACUCCAUAUUUUU
ensembl:snRNA U6 U6 spliceosomal RNA